AAUACAGAUAUACAUACAAACAAUAAGUGUACAUUGAUGGUCCUGCCAUGGCUACAAUAUAACAAAAUUUUAAGGAUCCUGCUCCUCUGUUGAAAAGCUUCAUUGUCUAGUCAUAUGCUUAAGAAGCAAUGACAGAAGAAGGUGACAACUUUAUGCAAAAAGAGGCAGACGCAUGAGCCCUCCAAAGCAAGAAUGAGCUUGAGGGCCAAUCCUGGAACUGCUCUUUAGUUUACAUCUCUUUAUCUAACAUCUCCACUUUGUGGGUUCUUCAUUGUUUUGGGG
rnacentral:lncRNA from 1 species